rnacentral:rRNA from 1 species
GACGAACGCUGGCGGCGUGCUUAACACAUGCAAGUCGAACGAAAAGAGGGAAAGAGCCUGCUCUUUCCGGAAUUGAGUGGCAAACGGGUGAGUAACACGUAAACAACCUGCCUUCAGGAUGGGGACAACAGACGGAAACGACUGCUAAUACCGAAUAAGUUCCAAGAGCCGCAUGGCCCAUGGAAGAAAAGGUGGCCUCUACCUGUAAGCUAUCGCCUGAAGAGGGGUUUGCGUCUGAUUAGCUGGUUGGAGGGGUAACGGCCCACCAAGGCGACGAUCAGUAGCCGGUCUGAGAGGAUGGACGGCCACACUGGAACUGAGACACGGUCCAGACUCCUACGGGAGGCAGCAGUGGGGAAUCUUCCGCAAUGGGCGAAAGCCUGACGGAGCAACGCCGCGUGAGUGAUGACGGCCUUCGGGUUGUAAAACUCUGUGAUCCGGGACGAAAAGGCAGAGUGCGAAGAACAAACUGCAUUGACGGUACCGGAAAAGCAAGCCACGGCUAACUACGUG